rnacentral:rRNA from 1 species
AACGAACGCUGGCGGCAUGCCUAACACAUGCAAGUCGAACGAGACCUUCGGGUCUAGUGGCGCACGGGUGCGUAACGCGUGGGAACCUGCCCUUAGGUUCGGAAUAACUCCCCGAAAGGGGUGCUAAUACCGGAUAAUGUCUUCGGACCAAAGAUUUAUCGCCUUUGGAGGGGCCCGCGUUGGAUUAGCUAGUUGGUAGGGUAAAAGCCUACCAAGGCGACGAUCCAUAGCUGGUCUGAGAGGAUGAUCAGCCACACUGGGACUGAGACACGGCCCAGACUCCUACGGGAGGCAGCAGUGGGGAAUAGUGGACAAUGGGCGAAAGCCUGAUCCAGCAAUGCCGCGUGAGUGAUGAAGGCCUUAGGGUUGUAAAGCUCUUUUACCCGGGAUGAUAAUGACAGUACCGGGAGAAUAAGCUCCGGCUAACUCCGUG